rnacentral:rRNA from 1 species
CACGUAGGGACCAAGCGUUGUCCGGAUUCAUUGGGCGUAAAGAGCUCGUAGGCGGUUCGAUAAGUCGGGUGUGAAACCUCCAGGCUCAACCUGGAGACGCCACCCGAUACUGUCGUGACUAGAGUCCAGUAGGGGAGCGUGGAAUUCCUGGUGUAGCGGUGAAAUGCGCAGAUAUCAGGAGGAACACCGAUGGCGAAGGCAGAUCUCUGGGCCUUACCUGACGCUGAGGAGCGAAAGCUGGGGGAGCGAACAGG